rnacentral:rRNA from 1 species
GGCUCAGAGUGAACGCUGGCGGCGUGCUUAACACAUGCAAGUCGAACGAUGAAACCUAGCUUGCUAGGUGGAUUAGUGGCGAACGGGUGAGUAAUGUAUAGCUAACCUGCCCCUUGGUGGGGGACAACAGAUGGAAACGUCUGCUAAUACCCCAUACUCCGUAUCUUUAUAAGAAGAUAUGGGAAAACUCCGGUGCCAAGGGAUGGGGCUGUAUCCUAUCAGCUUGUUGGUGAGGUAAUGGCUCACCAAGGCAAUGACGGGUAGCUGGUCUGAGAGGAUGAUCAGCCACACUGGAACUGAGACACGGUCCAGACUCCUACGGGAGGCAGCAGUGGGGAAUAUUGCACAAUGGGGGAAACCCUGAUGCAGCAACGCCGCGUGGAGGAUGACGCAUUUCGGUGUGUAAACUCCUUUUAUUAGGGAAGAAUAAUGACGGUACCUAAUGAAUAAGCACCGGCUAACUCCGUG